rnacentral:rRNA from 1 species
AUUGAACGCUGACGGCAGGCUUAACACAUGCAAGUCGAGCGGAGAUGAGGUGCUUGCACCUUAUCUUAGCGGCGGACGGGUGAGUAAUGCUUAGGAAUCUGCCUAUUAGUGGGGGACAACAUUCCGAAAGGAAUGCUAAUACCGCAUACGUCCUACGGGAGAGAGCAGGGGAUCUUCGGACCUUGCGCUAAUAGAUGAGCCUAAGUCGGAUUAGCUAGUUGGUGGGGUAAAGGCCUACCAAGGCGACGAUCUGUAGCGGGUCUGAGAGGAUGAUCCGCCACACUGGGACUGAGACACGGCCCAGACUCCUACGGGAGGCAGCAGUGGGGAAUAUUGGACAAUGGGGGGAACCCUGAUCCAGCCAUGCCGCGUGUGUGAAGAAGGCCUUAUGGUUGUAAAGCACUUUAAGCGAGGAGGAGGCUACUGAGACUAAUACUCUUGGAUAGUGGACGUUACUCGCAGAAUAAGCACCGGCUAACUCUGUGCCAGCAGCCGCAGUAAAAC